UACGUAGGGGGCAAGCGUUGUCCGGAAUCAUUGGGCGUAAAGCGCGCGUAGGCGGCUAGAUCAGUCUGCUGUAAAAGUCAAAGGCUCAACCUUUGAAAGCCGGUGGAUACUGUCUAGCUAGAGUCCGGAAGAGGCGAGUGGAAUUCCUGGUGUAGCGGUGGAAUGCGCAGAUAUCAGGAGGAACACCGAUGGCGAAGGCAGGUCUCUGGGCCGAUACUGACGCUGAGGAGCGAAAGCGUGGGGAGCGAACAGG
rnacentral:rRNA from 1 species